rnacentral:rRNA from 1 species
GGAUGAACGCUAGCUACAGGCUUAACACAUAGCAAGUCGAGGGGCAGCAUGAAGUUUGCUUGCAAACUUGAUGGCGACCGGCGCACGGGUGAGUAACGCGUAUCCAACCUUCCCUAGUAGUAGGGGGAUAGCCCGUAGAAAUGCGGAUUAAUACCCUAUGUUGUAUUUUGAGGACAUCUGAUGAAUACCAAAGGUUCACCGCUAUAGGAUGGGGAUGCGUCUGAUUAGGUAGUCGGCGGGGUAACGGCCCACCGAGCCAACGAUCAGUAGGGGUUCUGAGAGGAAGGUCCCCCACAUUGGAACUGAGACACGGUCCAAACUCCUACGGGAGGCAGCAGUGAGGAAUAUUGGUCAAUGGGCGAGAGCCUGAACCAGCCAAGUAGCGUGCAGGAUGACGGCCCUAUGGGUUGUAAACUGCUUUUAUGCGGGGAUAAAGUGGGGACGUGUCCCUUUUUGUAGGUACCGCAUGAAUAAGGACCGGCUAAUUCCGUGCCAGCCGCUGC